AAGUCGUAACAAGGUUUCCGUAGGUGAACCUGCGGAAGGAUCAUUAUCACAUGAUUUUCCAUGUAUUACCAUUGUGCAUUGUCACCUUUCCUUGAGAUGUCUGUGAUUUGGAAACGAGAGAAGUGUUUUAAUGGUCUAAUUGUAAUUUGAGACCGAAUUUCUCUCUAACAUCAUUUCAAUUCAUUUUGAAAUGAGACGCCGAAUUCGAUUAAUCAUCUCGAGUGUAAUUCAAAUUACAGAAUCAAAAUUCAUCUUUUGAUUUUUAACAAUUGAAACCCCUUUUAAAUUUUUGAACUAAUG
rnacentral:misc_RNA from 1 species